ensembl:lncRNA novel transcript
AGCAGAGGCGGAAGCGGUGUCGCUCUGAGGGGUCGCCAGUCGCCGCAGGCGCUUCAGCCCAGCGGCGGGCCUUGGCCCUUGGCUGCCUACUCCUACCGCCCCAGCCCCGGGCGGCCCUGGGCCUGCUGCGGGCGCGGCGCUGCCCGACCAGAGCUUCCUGUGGAACGUCUUCCAGAGGGUCGAUAAAGACAGGAGUGGAGUGAUAUCAGACACCGAGCUUCAGCAAGCUCUCUCCAACGGACAAAGGAAUCAUUAGGACAAAUUGUUAAUACUGCUUCAUGGUGGAGAUGCUUCUGGUUUAUUUUGUGGCUACCGCUGUUACUGCUUGGAGUGCCUCACCGAGCCAGGAUGAAGCCCCACCCGCCCUUCAGGAUGCCAGCCUUGGCAACAUCGUGAGACCCUGUUUCUACAAAAACUAAACAAGUGUAGUGGUGCACGCCUGUAUUCCCAGCUACUUGGGAGGCUGAGAUGGGAAGAUCACUUGAGCCUGGGAGGUUGAGGCUGCAUUGAGCUGAGAUCAAGCCACGGCACUCCAGCCUGGGAGACAGAGCGAAACCCCAUCUCAAAAAAACAAAGAAAGUGGAUGCGUGCUGCUCCUGCCAUUGGAUCAUCGCAGCAUUUUUCUUUUCUCUGAUAUGCGCCUUUUUCCUCAUCGUGGGGGCUCAUGUUUUCGUAAUUCCCUCUCGCUACUAGAUUGUGAGCUGUGUGAAGGAAGGUUCAUAGUUGAGUUGUAUGUACAGGCACACAAAAUUUGUCCUUGGAUAGACACAUAUCAAUCCACUUCCUUCUCCUCUCUGAAUUUCUUUAUUUAAAAAAAAAAGUAGAGAUGGAGUCUCACUGUCUUGCCCAGGCUGGUGUCAAACUCCUAGGCUCAAGUGAUCCUCCCACCUCUACUAAUAUGAAUUAUUAGGCUAUGCUAAUAUGAAUUUGUAUACUAAUAUGAUUGAAAUUAGUUUGACUUCUAUAAUAAUUGUUCUCCCAGAUUGGGCUUCUGUUUUGAUAGUAGAACUAAAUUAUUAGGCUAUUUCAAGAAAUUAAUAUAUUACUGGUAGAAAAACUGAAGCUACAAAAUGGCCUGGUUUCUCACUUCAGUUAAAUUUGUGCUUCUGAGUGCUUGUAUUCUAGGUGAAACCGCACUGAGAAGGUAUUUGUGGCCUAUACGCUGAUUCAUUGAUUAGACUUCUUUGCACAGGAGAGCUGCUAAAAAUUACUGCGGUGAACAGGUACGAAGAAAAAGACUGUUCUCUGCCCUUCUUUUUGCAAUAAAAUGUUACAAACUAUCUUGAGUUUGAUCCCUUUUCGGGUGUUUGGGUUUUUUUUAACAUUCACAUAUUUCUUGGAAUUAUAAGAAAUUAACUUUGUGCUUCUGAAGUGGGUUUGCCUUAAUAUAACACUGAUGUAUUUGUAAGGGGCAUUUUUAAAGCUGUACUUUAAAAAAUAAUAAUUCUUACAUUCAUUUGAA